CGAUGGUGUACUUGGUUUUCAACUCGCCGGCUUCAAUGAAGCGGGUUUCAUAGGACGAGGGAAGGCCGAUGAAGGCGUAAGAGCCGAGCUUUUGGUACUCGUCGGGGUUAGAUGGGACGAGGGUGAGGUACUCAGCGGGGAUGAUUUGGUCCGUAUCAAUGUUGUCGUGGACGACGUAGCAGAGGCCGUGAAAUGAGGUGGAGCUGGCAGUAACAGUGGUGGACCGACGAGUGGAGGCGGCGGUAGUGGCGGUAGUGAAGGGGAUAGUCGUGAGAGAUUUGAAGGGGAAUUUACGAGAGAUUGCGGUGGAGAAUCGGAGACAUGAGUGAGGAGAGAGAGAAGCGUGGGGCUUGUGCGAAGACGUGAGGUUAGGGUUUCCUGAAAGGGCUGCCGAAGCUGUUGAAGCCGCCAUGGAUGUGAGCUU
rnacentral:lncRNA from 1 species